rnacentral:rRNA from 1 species
GGCUCAGAACGAACGCGGGCGGCGUGCUUAACACAUGCAAGUCGAACGAGAAGUACUGUAGCAAUACGGUAUUGUAAAGUGGCGCACGGGUGAGUAACACGUGGGUAAUCUGCCCUUGAGUUUGGGAUAACCCCGCGAAAGCGGGGCUAAUACCGAAUAAGACCACGGGGACCAAAGUCCCUGAGGUAAAAGGUGGCCUCUAUUUAUAAGCUACCACUUGAGGAUGAGCCCGCGGCCCAUUAGCUAGUUGGCGGGGUAAUGGCCCACCAAGGCUAUGAUGGGUAGCUGGUCUGAGAGGACGAUCAGCCACACUGGAACUGAGACACGGUCCAGACUCCUACGGGAGGCAGCAGUGGGGAAUAUUGCGCAAUGGGCGAAAGCCUGACGCAGCAACGCCGCGUGGGGGAUGAAGGUUUUCGGAUUGUAAACCCCUUUCGAUCGGAACGAAUCUCCUCGUGGUAAACAAUCACGAGGAUCGACGGUACCGAGAGAAGAAGCCACGGCUAACUCUGUGCCAGCAGCCGCGGUAAGACAGAGGUGGCUAGCGUUGUUUGGAUUUAUUGGGCGUAAAGCGAACGCAGGUGGUUUGGUAAGUCAGGGGUGAAAGUCCGCAGCUUAACUGCGGCACUGCCUCUGAUACUGCCUUUCUUGAGUGCAUGAGGGGGAAGCGGAAUUCCGAGUGUAGAGGUGAAAUUUGUAGAUAUUCGGAGGAACACCGGUGGCGAAGGCGGCUUCCUGGCAUGUAACUGACACUCAUGUUCGAAAGCGUGGGUAGCAAACAGGAUUAGAUACCCUGGUAGUCCACGCCCUAAACGAUGGGCACUAGGUGUGGGAGGUAUCGACCCCUUCCGUGCCGCAGCUAACGCAUUAAGUGCCCCGCCUGGGGAGUACGGCCGCAAGGUUGAA